CCUAGAUACAACCUAGAUAGAAGUUAUUAUUGACUUAGUUAGAAAGUAAGUGCUUCUCAUAUCUUACACUAAAGGUUAGAGCCAGAACAAAUUACAGUUAACUCUAACAGGCUGAUCCUAAAUACUUCUACGUCUUAAGAUCGUUUCUACAAACAACAAUUAACAUCGUUAGAAUGCAGGUCACUCAAAAAGUCCUACUAAUUAGUUAUGUGCUGCUGAUGGUCUUCGUAGCAACCACCAGAGCUGAGGGAAAACGACUAGACUGCCAAAGUUUCUGCACUAAAACUGGCUUCACAGGUAACAUAGGUGGUUGUCAAUGUGGCUAUACCAUUUUUGGAAGCAAGCGAGGAACUACUGGCCAGGGACUCUUUUCGGGGCUUCACACCCGUUUCAGGUUAAGAGAGCUUCUGAAGAAUCUUUUGGAACACCAGUAAGAACACGGAAUAAAGAAGAGAUAACCUGGAACUCUAAGAAGAAAACCAGUUAAACGAGAACAUUUUUAGUUAUGUUUUAAUAUGACAACCAG